ACUCAAAUGAAUUGACGGGGGCCCGCACAAGCGGUGGAGCAUGUGGUUCAAUUCGACGCAACGCGAAGAACCUUACCUGGGCUCGAAGCGCAGUGGACCGGGGUGGAAACAUCCUUUCCCGCAAGGGCUGCUGCGUAGGUGCUGCAUGGCUGUCGUCAGCUCGUGUCGUGAGAUGUUGGGUUAAGUCCCGCAACGAGCGCAACCCUUAUUGCCAGUUGCCAUCGGGUUAUGCCGGGCACUCUGGCGAAACCGCCCCGGAUAACGGGGAGGAAGGUGGGGAUGACGUCAAGUCCUCAUGGCCUUUAUGUCCAGGGCUACACACGUGCUACAAUGGCCGGUACAAACCGUCGCAAACCCGUGAGGGUGAGCUAAUCGGAGAAAGCCGGCCUUAGUUCGGAUUGGAGUCUGCAACUCGACUCCAUGAAGCUGGAAUCGCUAGUAAUCGCGGAUCAGAACGCUGCGGUGAAUACGUUCCCGGGCCUUGUACACACCGCCCGU
rnacentral:rRNA from 1 species